rnacentral:lncRNA from 1 species
GUGCAAGAGAUAUAUGAGGCAUGCAGGAUCAACCACACGUGCAGGAGCACGAGCUGCAGGUGAUGAUGAUGACAGUGACUAUGAGGGAAGUUUUAGUGGGAUGGAGACGUCCCAUUCAGGACGCAGGUCUGGUGCCCACAGUGGCCGCAUGUCUUGUUCUUCUUUGCAGGAUUCACAGCCCCAUACUCAACGCAUUGACAUGGACAUGCUGACCCAACAAAUUGGUGUGCUGUGCAUUGGACAUGAGGCCAUGCAGAACACUGCAACUCAAACCCAGCAAGCCCUCCUAGAUCUCCAAGUCCAACAAAACAUAGGCUAGAACAGGAUGUAUGCACACCAUCAGAGGCCACUACCACCAAAUAUUCCAUUCAUUCCUAUGCCUCCACAGCGGCAGCAAGACCCAUCUCCAUAGUAUCCUCCACCAUAUCCUCAGCAGCCCUCAUAUCCUCCACCAUAUCCUCAGCAGCCCUCAUAUCUUCCACCAUAUCCAUAUAACUAUCCAACAUAUCAGUGAGGAGGCA